GAGUGCUGUGGGUGGGUCCGCUCUAUAGGUUUUUUUGCGGGAGGGGGUGGAGUCUUUGUGGGGCAGGGCAGGUGUGCUGUAUUUGGCUGCAGAUCACAGCAUGUGCACAGCAUCUCUGCAUUUGGCCUGCCGCUGCCGGGAUCUUGAAUUGAGGUAGGGUGCAGGGAUUCUGUGGUAGGAAAUCUGGUCUGAAGUGCCUGGUCUGAGUCCUCUGCUUGGGGCACCCUUGUGAGUGAGUGAAACUAGACUCAGCACAAAGGAAAAGGAAGAAAAGGAAAAGAGGGGAUCUUCCCAACCCAGAGAUCGAACCCUCAUCCCCUGUGUCUCCUGCAUUGGCAGGCAGAUUCUUUACCACUGAGCCAUCUGGGAAGCCCUCAGGCAGAUGAAUAUGGAAAGUCAAAUCACAACUGUGGGACCUUUAGCAAGGCAUCUAAACAUGAAACCUGAUGAGCUUUGAAUCAGGUCAAGUUUCCAAAUGGACUGGGUCUGCACUAACAAGUAGUGAAAUGUGCCUCCAGCCGCCUUGCAGCUGUGGAAGAAACGGAUUGCAACUCCAGUGGACUCAUUUUACCUGGCAGCAGAGCACUGGAAGGCUCGCCCAUCUGUCAACACACAUUUCUCUUCCAAUCUCCUUGAGCCCCUUCUUGAGUUCUUUCUUGUUUGAAGAGAAAAGCAAGAGCUAUUCAAAGUGGUGGCUUUUUAUAAGGGCAUUUCAAGUACAGUCAGCGCUAGAAAGUUUACUUACGUGGUGUUCGUGUUGUGGAUUAUACUCAUUUGACUCUAUUCUCUUUGCUUGCUAGUAUUCUCUUCAUUGCUUCACCCACCAAGUAAGUAUAUUGAAAAAUAACAGAUUCAUUAAUUAAAUAUAAACCAAACAGGCUCUAAUAACUCAAAGCAAAGAAAAAGCCAAUUAGAAAGUUCUUUAGCCUGAGUUCUGUUUGUACUUCAAAUGGAAAGGAAAAUAAUUUCUAAAAUCAAGUUAAAUUAUUUAUUAUAUGUGUUGAUAAAUAAGUUUUACAGGAGCAUAGGUCCACCCUCUGAAACGUGUAACAUUAUCACUUACUCAUGGCUUUCAAAUGGCAUGAGUAAUGGCUGACAUCUCAUUAAAUAUAAGCAAAUGCUUGUCCAGACCAUUCUUGUUAACUGGGACUACCUGGGAUGAAACUGUCACUUGUUCACUGUUAUAAACAUUAGCCCUCUAAGCCCACUGUAUCUGUAGGCAGAAACAUUCAUCAGUGAUGAUUGAAAUAUUUCCUUAUUAAUGCACUUCUCCCGCUAUUUCUGGGUAGGAAGUGAGCUAGGAGAUUUAGUUCAAGCACCAUUUGGUGCUGAUGUACCAUUGUGCAGAUUUUAAGAUUACUUCAACUGGUUGAGUAGAAGCAGCUUACUCAGUAUAAUUGCAGCUUCUCAGCUAUCAUCCAAGAACCUGAGGGAAAGUAAGACAGAAAGAAAGGGAGAAAGAAAAUCAGUGCUUAAGAAGAUGGUAUUAUGCCUUGGCUUACUAAGGUUUUGUGUCUUUGACUAGCCAUACAUAAUCUGCUGAAAGCGUAUUCAAAGAUAUACCACUUUGCUGAAGUAGCUUAGAGAAAGGAAAUACAUGCCAGGCAAGAGUACUGGAGUGGGUUGCCAUUGCCUUCUCUGAGGAAAUAUAUGGGAAUGCUGUUAAUCAUCCUGAAUGUUAAAAGGCACAGGUAGCAGAGUUUUUUUGUCAAUGAAUUUGUCUAUCAUUCUCUAUUAUCACUAAUGUCUGUACAGAUUUUCUUACUUCCCUUCUGUAACUUUUUUUUUUAUUGAAAUAUGGUUGAUUUACAAUGUUGUGUUAAUUACUGCUGUACAACAAAGUGAUUUACUUAUACAUAUUUAUACAUCCUUUUUAAUAUUCUUUUCCAUUGUGGUUUAUUGCAGGAUAUUGAAUAUAUUUGCCUGUGGUACAUAGUAAGACCUUGUUGAUACAGUCCAUAUAUAAUAGCUUGCUAACCCCAACCAUAUACUCUCUUCCUCCCCACUCCCCCCAUGGCAACCACCAGUCUGUUCACUAUGUCUGUGAUCCUGUUUCAUAGAUAGAUUCAUUUGUGUCAUAUUUUAGGUUCCACAUAUAAGUGAAAUCAUAUGGUAUUUGUCUUUCUUUUUCUGA